rnacentral:rRNA from 1 species
UGAACGCUAGCUACAGGCUUAACACAUGCAAGUCGAGGGGCAGCGGUAUCGAAAGCUUGCUUUCGGUAGCCGGCGACCGGCGCACGGGUGAGUAACGCGUAUCGAACCUGCCUCAUACUCGGGAAUAGCCUUGCGAAAGUAAGAUUAAUGCCCGGUGUUUUCAGAGUCCCGCAUGAGGCUUUGAACAAAGAUUUAUCGGUAUGAGAUGGCGAUGCGUCCCAUUAGCUUGUUGGCGGGGUAACGGCCCACCAAGGCAUCGAUGGGUAGGGGUUCUGAGAGGAAGGUCCCCCACAUUGGAACUGAGACACGGUCCAAACUCCUACGGGAGGCAGCAGUGAGGAAUAUUGGUCAAUGGGCGGAAGCCUGAACCAGCCAAGUAGCGUGCAGGAAGACGGCCCUCCGGGUUGUAAACUGCUUUUAGUUGGGAAUAAAACGGGGCUCGUGAGCCCCCUUGCAUGUACCAUCAGAAAAAGGACCGGCUAAUUCCGU